rnacentral:rRNA from 1 species
GAUGAACGCUGGCGGCGUGCUUAACACAUGCAAGUCGAACGGAAAGGCCCAAGCUUUCUUGGGUUCUCGAUUGGCGAACGGGUGAGUAACACAUGGGGGAUCUCCCCUUCACUUCGGGAUAAGCCUGGGAAACUGGGGCUAAUACAGGAUAGGACCUCUUCUUGCAUGUUGUUGUGUAAAGUUUUUUCGGUUUGGUAUGAGGUCGCGGCCUAUCAGCUUCUUGUUGGGGUAUUGGCCUACCAACGCGUCGACGGGGAGCCGGCCUGUGAGGGUGUACGGACAGACUAGGACUGUGAGGCGGGCCACAGUCCGACAGGAUGCAGAAAUGGGGAAUAUUGGACGAAGGGAGGAAGCCUGAUGGAGGGAGGCCGCGGGGGGGAAGAAGGCUUUCGGGUUGUAAACUCCUAUGGGUAGGGAAGAAGGGUUUUUUUGACGGUACCUAGAGAAGAAGCAACGGCUAACUACGUG